AAAAACCACCGGCACUGUGUUGGGUUCAUCUCAUAAAGCUGGUUAAGAACAGUUCUUACAGCUUUGUAUGUGAAAUAGUUGAGUAUUUGAGUUUUAACAUAUAUC